rnacentral:rRNA from 1 species
CCCAGACUCCUACGGGAGGCAGCAGUGGGGAAUAUUGCACAAUGGGGGAAACCCUGAUGCAGCGACGCCGCGUGAGUGAAGAAGUAUUUCGGUACGUAAAGCUCUAUCAGCAGGGAAGAAAAUGACGGUACCUGAUUAAGAAGCCCCGGCUAACUACGUGCCAGCAGCCGCGGUAAUACGUAGGGGGCAAGCGUUAUCCGGAUUUACUGGGUGUAAAGGGAGCGUAGACGGCAGCGCAAGUCUGGAGUGAAAUGCCGGGGCCCAACCCCGGAACUGCUUUGGAAACUGUGCAGCUCGAGUGCAGGAGAGGUAAGCGGAAUUCCUAGUGUAGCGGUGAAAUGCGUAGAUAUACGGAGGAACACCAGUGGCGAAGGCGGAUUGCUGGACAGUAACUGACGCUGAGGCGCGAAAGCGUGGGGAGCAAACAGGAUUAGAUACCCGAGUA